UACAGAGGGUGCAAGCGUUGUUCGGAAUUAUUGGGCGUAAAGGGCGCGUAGGCGGUUCGGCAAGUCUCUAGUGAAAUCUCUGGGCUCAACUCAGAGUCUGCUGGGGAAACUGCCGGGCUUGAGUGUGGGAGAGGAGAGUGGAAUUCCCGGUGUAGCGGUGAAAUGCGUAGAUAUCAGGAGGAACACCUGUGGCGAAAGCGGCUCACUGGACCAUAACUGACGCUGAUGCACGAAAGCUAGGGGAGCAAACAGG
rnacentral:rRNA from 1 species